AUUGAACGCUGGCGGCAUGCCUUACACAUGCAAGUCGAACGGUAACGGGCCUUCGGGUGCCGACGAGUGGCGAACGGGUGAGUAAUGCAUCGGAACGUACCUUUCAGUGGGGGAUAACGUAGCGAAAGUUACGCUAAUACCGCAUAUUCUGUGAGCAGGAAAGCAGGGGAUCGCAAGACCUUGCGCUGAUUGAGCGGCCGAUAUCAGAUUAGCUAGUUGGUGAGGUAAAGGCUCACCAAGGCGACGAUCUGUAGCGGGUCUGAGAGGAUGAUCCGCCACACUGGAACUGAGACACGGUCCGGAAUCCUACGGGAGGCAGCAGUGGGGAAUUUUGGACAAUGGGGGCAACCCUGAUCCAGCCAUGCCGCGUGAGGGAAGAAGGCCUUCGGGUUGUAAAGCUCUUUCGGCCGGGAAGAAAUCGUAUCAGCUAAUACCUGGUGCGGAUGACGGUACCGGCAUAAGAAGCACCGGCUAACUACGUGCCAGCCGCCGCAGUAACAC
rnacentral:rRNA from 1 species